GACGAACGCUGGCGGCGUGCCUAACACAUGCAAGUCGAACGAGGUCCAAGGGAGCUUGCUCACUGAAGACCUAGUGGCGAGCGGGUGAGUAACACGUGAGAAACCUGCCCUCGAGUGGGGAAUAACCCGGGGAAACCCGGGCUAAUCCCGCAUACGCUCCUCUGGUCGCAUGGCCGGAGGAGGAAAGUUUUUCGCUCACGGAGGGUCUCGCGGCCUAUCAGCUUGAUGGCGGGGUAACGGCCCACCAAGGCUACGACGGGUAGCUGGUGUGAGAGGACGAUCAGCCACACUGGGACUGAGACACGGCCCAGACUCCUACGGGAGGCAGCAGUGGGGAAUCUUGCGCAAUGGGCGAAAGCCUGACGCAGCAACGCCGCGUGCGGGAUGACGGCCUUCGUGGUUGUAAACCGCUUUCAGCAGGGACGAAAAUGACGGUACCUGCAGAAGAAGCUCCGGCUAACUACGUGCCAGCAGCCGCCGUAA
rnacentral:rRNA from 1 species